UUUCUCUUUUUAAAAUUUUAACUGAACAAAAAACUUUCUUCGUUUCUAAAAAUUGUCUCUUCCCCUCUAUUUCCUAUCAAUCAAACGAAUCCUAAAAGUCACGAUCAUAAUGUGAUGUUGAUCAUGGUAGAGCAGCCAUGUCGAGAAGCACGUGGACCACGGCCAACUGACAGGCCAAUAAAAACUAUGAGCAAUAUAAAUAAUUAAGUCUGUCUAACAAUUGACAGUGUGGUGGCUAUUUUAUCCAAAAAGAGCAUAAUGGAAAUG
rnacentral:lncRNA from 1 species